AUAGUCGUAUUUUACUAUUCUGAUUAGAUCUUAUGUCAUGAGAUUUUUGAAAAUUUUGCUUCCUCUAUAUAGUUGGUUCACAAAGUUGUAUAACCUACUAAACAAGUUAUACCACAUUAGUAUGCACAUUGUGAUUCCAAUGACUAAAAUUUACAAAAUAAAAAUUUGUCCGUCCGAUAUGGUCGUUAUAGUAAAACAAGGGUAUGGUAUAAAAUUCAACUGGAUUCGGCAACGUUCAGGGCUUGAUCGAAGCGGUCAACCCUAAUCCAUCGUCACUUAUCACACAAAAACGCUCUUACCUACCUCUCCGUGACCUAGUUUGGUCGAUUCUUCCACACGUUAAACUCUCACAUAGAUGAGACGUAACCGUACAUAUAAAAAUUUAAAGAUGUUUACCUCCCGAAGAUAGGGCUCCCAUUGGGAAGAUUAAGCGUAAAAAGGGUUGACCGUUUUUAUCUAUACCCAAAUGUUACCCGAAAUACUUGAUUUUUCAACCAUAGUUGUAUUUCACUAUUCUGAUCAGAUCUUAUGUCAUGAGAUUUUUGAAAAUUUUGCUUCCUCUAUAUAGUUGGUUCACAAAGUUGUAUAAUCUACUAAACAAGUUAUACCACAUUAGUAUGCACAUUGUGAUUCCAAUGACUAAAAUUUACAAAAUAAAAAUUUGUCCGUCCGAUAUGGUCGUUAUAGUAAAACAAGGGUAUGGUAUAAAAUUCAACUGGAUUCGGUAACGUUCAGGGCUUGAUCAAAGCGGUCAACCCUAAUCCAUCGUCACUUAUCACACAUAAACGCUCUUACCUACCUCUCCGUGACCUAGUUUGGUCGAUUCUUCCACACGUUAAACUCUCACAUAGAUGAGACGUAACUGUACAUAUAAAAAUUUAAAGACGUUUAC
rnacentral:lncRNA from 1 species